UACGUAGGGGGCUAGCGUUGUCCGGAAUCAUUGGGCGUAAAGCGUGCGUAGGCGGCCCGGUAAGUCCGCUGUGAAAGUCAAAGGCUCAACCUUUGAAUGUCAGCGGAUACUGCCAGGCUAGAGUCCGGAAGAGGCGAGUGGAACUCCUGGUGUAGCGGUGGAAUGCGCAGAUAUCAGGAAGAACACCAACGGCGAAGGCAGCUCGCUGGGACGGAACUGACGCUGAGACGCGAAAGCGUGGGGAGCGAACAGG
rnacentral:rRNA from 1 species